rnacentral:rRNA from 1 species
UACGUAGGGUCCGAGCGUUGUCCGGAAUUAUUGGGCGUAAAGAGCUCGUAGGCGGUCUGUUGCGUCGGCUGUGAAAACCCGGGGCUCAACUCCGGGCCUGCAGCCGAUACGGGCAGACUAGAGUUCGGCAGGGGAGACUGGAAUUCCUGGUGUAGUGGUGAAAUGCGUAGAUAUCGGGAGGAACACCAGUGGCGAAGGCGACUACCUGGCCUGUUCUUGACGCUGAGGCGCGAAAGCUAGGGGAGCAAACGGG